rnacentral:lncRNA from 1 species
GAGUUAUAGAGUUGAGAGAGGAUGAUAGCCACAUAAUAAGUAGCCUCCUCGUCUGUAGCGGCCUUCUCGGCCUUGAGGAGGUGAAGUAAAAUAAAAAAAAAAAAAAAGAGUACAAUUUGAAAUUGCUAAGUCAAUACAAGUACUUGAUUUUUUAGAUAUUUUUGUUGGUGUACUGUUGAAAAUAUACAUUUGAUAAUUUUUGAUAGAUUGCUUUAGUGCUAUAGAGUGUUUGUCAUUUGAAAGUGUAUUUAUGUUAAAAUCACCAAGAAUGAUAAUAUUUUUUGAACAAAUUGUAGUAAUCCAAGUAUCGAAAAACUCCAAGAAGAUGGUUUUGUUCUCCUGUGGAGAUUUAUACAAAACACUAAAAUGAAACUUAAUUUUGUUAAUGACUAGUUCAGUAGAUAAUAAUCAAUGACACUUGUCCUUGACGAUAGAUUUAGGAUCAGAAUUUACUUUUAUGUCAUCUUUAUAAUAUAAUAUACAACCACCGGUAUGAGCACUUGAUGAUUCUAAAUUUAUAAAAGAAUAACCAAAAAUUUCAAGCUCUUUUUCAAAGAUUAAGGAUGUUAUGUGGGUUUCAGUUAAUCCAAGUAUAUGAGUUACAUAUGACUAAACAAGAGAAAAAUUACCAAUGGCAAAAGUUUAUUCAGACUUUUUUUCAAUCAAUGACAGUAAAACCCUGAUAAAUUUAGAAGUAAACAGAUUUCAGAAAAGUCUUUGUCCUACUAGGUGAUGAUCAUGAUGAUUGUGAUGAUGAUAUGAUUACGUGAUAACAAUGAGCAUUUGUAAUUUAGAUGGUGAUUGUCAUAUCAUGAUGUUGGUUCACUUUCAGUAUUUUAUAGAAAUGUAUAUUAUCACAAAUUUGUAUAUUUAAGUUCAGAAACUGACACUCCACAGUUACUGAAAAAAAAGUAAGUCGUAAAUAAUAAAAAAAGACACUUGCUCCAGCCCGUGCUAUUCCUCCUUUAACAUUUUUAUUUAUUGAAAAUUUGACUUCUUCAGAUCAAUUAAAAUUAAAUAACUUUUUAUAAUUAGGCUCUGCUUCUGAAGUUUUAGAAAAGGAUGUAUUUUUAUACUUUUUUCAUUUGAAUAUUCUUUUUUAUUUUUGUAACUGAAUUCCAAUAUGUUCUCAAACAAUCUUUUAGUUAGUUUAUGUAAAUAGGACAUAAAUAUAUAUCCAAAUUUAUCAAGUUAUAUUGAUGGACAUACUUUUUUCGAAAGCAAUGAGUUAGACAACUGAUGGGAUGGAGACCCACUUAUGUGGUAUUGUAUUUUAUUGACUAAAAAGUUUUUUUUUUUAAGGAAGAAUAUAUUUAAAAGAGUGCUUUGCAAGGUGACAAUUUCUUAAUUUAUUUUUAGCGCUUUAAUUCUAAAAAAUGUGCUUUGAUUAAAGAAAAAUGAAAAUAUUUUGUUGUUGCCUAUUGAGAUGGUAUCAACUGAGUUGCGUGUUGAUCAGUUGCUAGAUGAAUUAAAGCUCUCAUAGCUCCCUAAAUCAGUAUUGUAUCAUCAGUUGCAUCUAAUGCUAAAAUUGAAGCACAUAGUAACUUUGUGUUAUUUAGAUGCUGUGAAAAUAAAAGCUUAAAAAUAAAACCACAGGAGCACCAGGAGAAGAGUUUAAACAUUAACUGAAGAGAUAUUUUUUGCUUUUUGGAAAUCGAAAUGGCGGACGAAAAGCUCGAGAGGAACGUUCUUUGUAUAAAAAGAUAUUUGCAUAAAUAACAAUUUGAGCUUUUAA